GAUGAACGCUAGCGGGAGGCCUAACACAUGCAAGCCGAGCGGUAUUUCUUCUUCGGGAGAGAGAGAGCGGCGUACGGGUGCGGAACACGUGUGCAACCUGCCUUUAUCUAGAGGAUAGCCUUUCGAAAGGAAGAUUAAUACUCUAUAAUGUAUUAAUUGGCAUCAAUUGAUAUUGAAAACUCCGGUGGAUAGAGAUGGGCACGCGCAAGAUUAGCUAGUUGGUGAGGUAACGGCUCACCAAGGCAAUGAUCUUUAGGGGGACUGAGAGGGUGAUCCCCCACACUGGUACUGAGACACGGACCAGACUCCUACGGGAGGCAGCAGUGAGGAAUAUUGGUCAAUGGGUGCAAGCCUGAACCAGCCAUCCCGCGUGAAGGAUUAAGGUCCUAUGGAUUGUAAACUUCUUUUGUAUAGGGAUAAACCUACCCUCGUGAGGGUAGCUGAAGGUACUAUACGAAUAAGCACCGGCUAACUCCGUGCCAGCCGCCGCGGUAA
rnacentral:rRNA from 1 species